UUUAUGGAGAGUUUGAUCCUGGCUCAGGACGAACGCUGGCGGCGUGCUUAACACAUGCAAGUCGAACGGUGAUGUCAGAGCUUGCUCUGGCGGAUCAGUGGCGAACGGGUGAGUAACACGUGAGUAACCUGCCCCCGACUCUGGGAUAACUGCUAGAAAUGGUAGCUAAUACCGGAUAUGACGAUUGGCCGCAUGGUCUGGUCGUGGAAAGAAUUUCGGUUGGGGAUGGACUCGCGGCCUAUCAGGUUGUUGGUGAGGUAAUGGCUCACCAAGCCUACGACGGGUAGCCGGCCUGAGAGGGUGACCGGCCACACUGGGACUGAGACACGGCCCAGACUCCUACGGGAGGCAGCAGUGGGGAAUAUUGCACAAUGGGCGAAAGCCUGAUGCAGCAACGCCGCGUGAGGGAUGACGGCCUUCGGGUUGUAAACCUCUUUUAGUAGGGAAGAAGCGAAAGUGACGGUACCUGCAGAAAAAGCACCGGCUAACUACGUGCCAGCAGCCGCGGUAAUACGUAGGGUGCAAGCGUUGUCCGGAAUUAUUGGGCGUAAAGAGCUCGUAGGCGGUUUGUCGCGUCUGCUGUGAAAUCCCGAGGCUCAACCUCGGGUCUGCAGUGGGUACGGGCAGACUAGAGUGCGGUAGGGGAGAUUGGAAUUCCUGGUGUAGCGGUGGAAUGCGCAGAUAUCAGGAGGAACACCGAUGGCGAAGGCAGAUCUCUGGGCCGUAACUGACGCUGAGGAGCGAAAGCAUGGGGAGCGAACAGGAUUAGAUACCCUGGUAGUCCAUGCCGUAAACGUUGGGAACUAGAUGUGGGGACCAUUCCACGGUCUCCGUGUCGCAGCUAACGCAUUAAGUUCCCCGCCUGGGGAGUACGGCCGCAAGGCUAAAACUCAAAGGAAUUGACGGGGGCCCGCACAAGCGGCGGAGCAUGCGGAUUAAUUCGAUGCAACGCGAAGAACCUUACCAAGGCUUGACAUAUACCGGAAACAUGCAGAAAUGUGUGCCCCGCAAGGUCGGUAUACAGGUGGUGCAUGGUUGUCGUCAGCUCGUGUCGUGAGAUGUUGGGUUAAGUCCCGCAACGAGCGCAACCCUCGUUCUAUGUUGCCAGCACGUAAUGGUGGGAACUCAUAGGAGACUGCCGGGGUCAACUCGGAGGAAGGUGGGGAUGACGUCAAAUCAUCAUGCCCCUUAUGUCUUGGGCUUCACGCAUGCUACAAUGGCCGGUACAAAGGGCUGCGAUACCGUAAGGUGGAGCGAAUCCCAAAAAGCCGGUCUCAGUUCGGAUUGAGGUCUGCAACUCGACCUCAUGAAGUCGGAGUCGCUAGUAAUCGCAGAUCAGCAACGCUGCGGUGAAUACGUUCCCGGGCCUUGUACACACCGCCCGUCAAGUCAUGAAAGUCGGUAACACCCGAAGCCAGUGGCCUAACCGCACGGGAGGAGCUGUCGAAGGUGGGAUCGGUGAUUAGGACUAAGUCGUAACAAGGUAGCCGUACCGGAAGGUGCGGCUGGAUCACCUCCUUUCUAAGGA
rnacentral:rRNA from 1 species